rnacentral:rRNA from 1 species
UACGGGGGGGGCAAGCGUUGUUCGGAAUUACUGGGCGUAAAGGGCGCGUAGGCGGCUCAUCAAGUCGGGCGUGAAAUCUCCGGGCUUAACCUGGAAAAGUCGUUCGAUACUGUUGGGCUAGAGUGUGGAAGAGGCUACUGGAAUUCCGUGUGUAGCGGUGAAAUGCGCAGAUAUCAGGAGGAACACCGAUGGCGAAGGCAGGUCUCUGGGCAUUAACUGACGCUGAGGAGCGAAAGCAUGGGGAGCGAACAGG